rnacentral:rRNA from 1 species
UACGUAGGGUGCGAGCGUUGUCCGGAAUUACUGGGCGUAAAGAGCUCGUAGGUGGUUUGUCGCGUUGUUCGUGAAAACUCACAGCUUAACUGUGGGCGUGCGGGCGAUACGGGCAGACUGGAGUACUGCAGGGGAGACUGGAAUUCCUGGUGUAGCGGUGGAAUGCGCAGAUAUCAGGAGGAACACCGGUGGCGAAGGCGGGUCUCUGGGCAGUAACUGACGCUGAAGAGCGAAAGCGUGGGUAGCAAACAGG